UUUAUUUUUAUUUAUUUAUUGCUUAACUUAUUAAUUUAAUCUAAUCAUUUCACCCUUUGUCAACUUUAGGGUAGCUCUCCACAGGUGCUCAAGAAUCACUAAUAGUGACAGUCACCAUAUCAUAUAAAUGAAUUCCUUUCUCAUUCUGAGAUGUAGCUCAUCUGGGUCUGGCAUUUCAAACUCAUCAAAGGCAGCUAAUGAUAUGUACAGAAGACAAGAUGCUCUAGCAAGUAGAUCAUAUUAUGAUCCUGAUCUUACAGAUGAAGAAACUGAAACAGAGUGAAGUUAAGAAUCACUGGUGUUUGCCUGUCAUGACCAAAUUUCCAUUUUAUCAUUUGGGAUGUGAUGAUUCUCAUUGCUACAUAAGAGGAGUUGGGAUCUCCCUGAUGCUUUACUCAUAA
rnacentral:lncRNA from 1 species